UUUACAACACAUAACCGUUACAGAGAACUAUCUCUGUGUUACUAUAUACAAUCUCAAGGUAUAUAGGUAAUGACUGAAGCUGCUGAAGGGAGUGCGGGAUGGCUUCAGCAGUUUUAAAGAUAUCCAUCAAGUGAUUAAUAAAAAUAAAUCUUUGAAGAGUAAAACUGUUACAAGUAAAGAAAAUAUGAUCCAAGGUAGGUAAUGUAAUAAAAUAGAAGAAGAAGAACCACUCUGCAAUUUUACAAGAAGAGGAUGAUUUUUAAUGGAUGAAAUUCUCAACAAAAACCUGUAUAUUAAAUAUUUAAAGCGAAUUUUCAAAGGAGGGAUGUUACAUUCAACCUGCAUUGAUAUUAUGGGUGUGGAACACAUCGCACCAAGCACAAUCCAGCUGAUGUCCAAGCCCAGAUCAUCAUAAUAGGCCUUAAGGCCAAGGAGAGCAACUCUGAGA